rnacentral:tRNA from 1 species
AUCAGGAUGGCCGAGUGAUCUAACGCGACAGACUCGAGUUCUGGUCCUUGUGAGAGGGCGUGGGUUCAAAUCCCACAUCUGACC